CCUACGGGAGGCAGCAGUGAGGAAUAUUGGUCAAUGGGCGAAAGUCUGAACCAGCCAAGUAGCGUGAAGGAUGACUGCCCUAUGGGUUGUAAACUUCUUUUGUAUGGGAGUAAAAUGUUCCACGUGUGGGAGUUUGUAUGUACCAUAUGAAUAAGGAUCGGCUAACUCCGUGCCAGCAGCCGCGGUAAUACGGAGGAUCCGAGCGUUAUCCGGAUUUAUUGGGUUUAAAGGGAGAGUAGGUGGAUUGUUAAGUCAGUUGUGAAAGUGUGCGGCUCAACCGUAAAAUUGCAGUUGAAACUGGCAGUCUUGAGUACAGGAGAGGUGGGCGGAAUUCGUGGUGUAGCGGUGAAAUGCUUAGAUAUCACGAAGAACUCCGAUGGCGAAGGCAGCUCACUGGACUGCAACUGACACUGAGGCUCGAAAGUGUGGGUAUCAAACAGGAUUAGAUACCCCUGUAGUC
rnacentral:rRNA from 1 species